GUAAUGGGGAUUCAAACCGCCAACCUUCUGAUCGGCAAGCCCUAGGCUCUGUGGUUUAGACCACAGUGCCACCCACAUCCCAACUUGCAACUUACCUACCCCUAAAUAAAACUCCUUGGCUGCAAUUUUGCUGAAGUUGCUUUGAGGGGUGUGCAGACUGAGAUUUUUCAUUGCCAUGCAAGGCCAUUUCAGACGUCCCCUUCCACAUACCUGGCAGUGGGAAGUAAAUGUAUAUACAGGCUUGUGGUUUGCUAACUGUGAUGUAAGCCAUACUUCUUGAGUUUCCUCACCCCUUCCAUUGACUACGUAGAUCCCUCAGAGGAGGAUUGGGGUAUAUUUGUUUGAUUCCUGCCCCCUAAUUUGUAUGAGUUGCUAUGUAUGUAUCAAAUUUAAACUCACCAUACAGCCGAUGGUCCAGUCUGCAUUUCACAGUAAACUAUAGUUUACCAUAGUGUACUUCAGUGCGUUUGACUCCUCCCCACAUGGAGGAAACAUACCAUGAUCCCUGACUUAGUGUUCUGCCCAAACCAUGAUGUACAAACCAAGAAUAAACCUUGGCUACAGAUUACUGCUUGGGAACUCAGGGGGAAACAACAUGGCCAGGAUAGGUCCGUGCAGAGUUUACUGUGACAUGCAAACAAGGCCAAUGUGUUUUAGAAAGAGUGCUGCAGAAUACAGUCAGUAGGAAACAGCGUUUGUAUUGUACAAAUAAAUGUGUGUGCUUUGUAACCUCUCCCUCAAAUUGAGACUUGAAACAUUGACCUAGCUUUGAAAAAUGAAAUUUAGAGAUCACAGCUUUGUUCUUGGAAGUUCCUGCAACUUUCUGACUUAUAGAUUUUGCUACUUCCUCUGUAGAGCAUAACUUUAUAUAGAAGGAAGAUGGAUAUGUACUUUGGACUACUGCUGUGGCAAAGCAAUCGAGAGAACUUGUACAAAUGUGGAAGGUGCUAGUGUUUUUGCACCAUUUCAGAAUGCACGCGGGUGAAAUUAUUGAUUUAAACGUUCUUCCAUAUCUUGGUUUUCUGCUAAUCGGAGAUUUAAGCUUUCUAUGUGGAAAAAGAACCUCUUAGACAAUGGGGGCACUAGCCCUUAGUUGCAUGAAGCUUCAAGUGAUUUAUACAAAAAGUGAGAUAUAGUUUGGUGUCUUCAAAAAAAUAAAAACCAAAAAACAAGAGAGAAACAUCAUGUUGUAAACUGAGAUGCACUUUGAACAUUGUGUCCCAGUCCAGGUUUUGACGGCACAAACACUGUCUGUCCUCAGCAUGCCACCAAAGGAGACUUACUCUCUGACACGGGAACAAUGAAAUAUGUGCCAAUGGCUCAGUCCCUACCCUUUUCCCGUUUUGUGUGACUCUGGUUUUAUUAUUGUAUUAUUCAAAUUUGUGUGCUACAGGAAUCUCGGCUGCACAAAGCCUUCAGUGGAAACGAAAAUGCGGUGAAAGUGAAGCCAAACAAGUGUUGGCACAGACCCUUUCAAAUUUAUUUAUUUAUAUUAAAUUUAUAUACCACCCCGCACUUGAGGAUCACAGGGCAGUUUGCAGUAUAAAAGCAUCAAAAUACAUAAUGGCUAGCAAAACAAUAACCCCACACUCCACACUCAAUUUAAAAAGCCAUAGAUUCUUUAAUUGGCCAAAGGCCUGGGAUAAAUGUUUUUGCCUGGCCCCUAAAGAGAUUUAACAAAGGCCUCGGGUGAGCUACCCUGGGGAGAGCAUGCCACAAACGGAGCCACCACAGAAAAGGCCUGUUGUUGUGUUGCCACCUUCCGGAUCUCUUGCGGAAGGGGCACACAAAAAAGGACCUCGGGUGAUGAUCACGGGGUCUGGGUUGGUUCAUAUGGGGAGAGGCGGUCCUUGAGGUAUUGUAGUCCUGAGCCACUUAGACCUUUCCAGUUCAAAACAAGUUAGGCUAUCCCUGCCCAGAUAGGGCUGCAACUGGGCCACCAGCCCAAACUGGUGGAAGUCACCACUGAGACCACCUGAGCCUCAAGUGACAGUAAAGUUUCCAAGCUGUUUCCUUCAAAGGGCAAUCCCCAUCAAGAGCAGGUCACCUCCCAUCCAUUCUUAUCCUGCCAAAUGAGGGGCUUGUGUCUCCAUUUGGUUUUGCUGUAUUCCUACCUGCUACAGAAAAAUAGUAUGGGAGCAACUCAUGCCUCAGAAAUUGCCUAAGACUUGGGUAGUCAGGCCAUUGUUCCAUCUAGAUCUGUGUUGUGUACAUUGACUAGCAGCAGCUCUCCCAGUUUUCAGCCAGGGUCUAGUGUAGCCUUACCUGGAGAUGCCAUAGUUUGAUCCUGGGACCUUCUGCAUGCAAAGCAGAUGUUCUACCACUGAACUUAGUCUCCUACCAUUUGUGUGUGUUCAUCAGUAACUCAUUUACACAUUUACAAGGCAGGCAAAAUUUUCUUCAACAUGUUUCCAGGAAUACGCUUCCUCAUUCUCCUUAUCAUUGCCAACAAUUAUGUGAAACAGAUCCCUGUCUAUUUGUCAAAGGUCAGGUAAAUUGUUAGUAGCCAGAUCCAAGUCCAGGGCUCAUUGAAUUUCUCAAACUAAAAAUCUAUCCAAGUUCUGUUUUCUGCAGAACACUUAUGAGAAAUGUUCUAGCUUUGCGAAAACGAGAAUGCUUCUCCCUCUUUCAUUAACCCGAGCAUAUUUUUAGUUGCAAAACAUUAAAAAACAAAACAGAGUUUACAAUAGAUGCAAAACUUAUUUUAAAAUCUUAGGAUAAAUAUUUUAAAUAUAGGGUGAGUAUUUAAUUGUGUCUGUGAAAGAGAAAUAUAAUCUGGAGACAAGUAUACGAAUUUCAAAUGAAUUGCAUGUUAAGAGGUUGAAAGUAUAGCUAAGAUUACAUCUACAAGAGGUUACACUUAGGUGUAAUUAAUAUUGGAUGCUUAGGUAAUUAGAAAUGAUUAUAUUACACUAUGCUAUGUUACAUUAUAUGUAUUCUGCACAAAGACGUCCUUAGUGUAUGAACUAAAAGCUUUAAAAAUAAACUUUUGUUGUUGUUUUAAAAGUAUUCCUGUAUCUUCUUUUUUAAUGUGCAGCCCAUAGUUUAUUGGUCAGAAAGGCGCAAUCACAGCAAACCAUUAACAGUGGUUUACUGUGCCAUACAAACAAGGCCUGUAUGUGCAAGCCGGGAAUCAUUAUUUGAAAUAGACUCGUUGAGUUAUGAAGCUAGUUUGUUUAACCAGUGAGUUAGUUUCAAACCACAGUUCCUGAUUCAUCUACAACAAGUCAGAAAUUGGGGAAAGUAAAACCGAACCGUGGUUUGUUACUCUUGACUGGAGGAGUACUGAAACUCAAGACUUUGCUUGGCCUCACAGAGACUGGAUGAUAUAUCUUGGUUUAACAUUAUGUACGGACCAGGGCAGUGUGCAUUCAGAUUGUUUCCACUACAUUUUAAAUGUCUGUACCUUCAUUCAGAGUAAUAUUGACUCCUCAUGGCAGAAACAGGAUUGCUCCCUCUAGGCUUAGAAUAGAAACUUUGGAUCCUGAUAUAAGGUCAGUAAAGAACACUCCUUACUGGAAUGAUAGAUCAUUUUUCGGUUCUUCUUCUUGCCAAAAAGAGAACUUAAAAGGAAAUGCAGUACUUCCCAGUUCUGAUUCCCAGACAUCCUUUUAUUUGUUGAUUUGGAGUAAAGCCACAAUGUCAAAUAAUCCUGUUUAACUUUUAAUGGUCAGGAAAAUGUAAAUGUAAGCAUACAGCUUUCUUACACGAUUUUCUCGAAAAGAAUUUAUUUCUCAUACCCCGCUCAUCUGACUGGGUUGCCCCAGCCACUCUGGGCAGCUACUGAAGACAAAAUAAAUUUUGGGGUGACACAAAGUGUUUUGCGACUGUUCUGCUCAGUUGAAGGACACAACCAUUUAACCACUCGGACAGCAAUAAUAAACUGGCAACAAUAAUUAACACAACAAAUUACAAGCUAGCGUUGCUAAUAGCCAAGUUACCUCUUCAGCUGGAGAACAUAGGUCUGAUUCUUCAUGAAACUCUGAAAUUAGUUGGGUUAUUAAUCCCUCCCUUUAAUAAUGUAAAUAGUUUUAAGGUGAAUGUUUGGCUUUGCAGCUACUACUCUAUAACUUAUUUUUUGCAAUCCAGCUCUGUGCUGGUGUUCUGAUAGUUCCUUUUAUAUUGGGUUUACAUCUACCCUUCGUUCGUAUCCACAUACCUUUGAGGACAUUACUGUUUCAUUGCACACUCUGUGAGAUUAUCUUUUGGAAUGAUGGAUCUGCCCGGUGUCUUUUCCUAACCAGGAUUAUACCUAGAUAAAUAUUAGGAAGCUUCCUUGGACUUGCUCAUGCCUUUCCCAGUCAUUGUAGAGAGAUGAAACAUGUGAAUCCAAGGCUCACUAAAGAUCUCUGCGAGGGGUAUUGUCCAGGAGAGUGGAAAAUAUUGGCAAAAAGAAACUCUGAGAUUAAUGUGGCAGAGGCUGCAAAACAAUGCUUUUAAAAAAAUAAUCUCGAGACAUUUAAGUGUGCAGUCCAGUCAUAGUCUUGCAGUCUGUCUUUGGUUAAGGAAAAUAUGGUAAAUUAUGCUGUCAAUACACGGUGCCAUGAUGAUGAUGAUGAUGAUGAUGAUGAUGAUGAUGAUGAUACAAAAUAAAGGAAUAUGCUAUAUGUGCAUUACUAUUUAUUAUUAAUAUAGCUAUACAGUUUAGUUUUAAGUCUAUAUAUACAGAACAUCUUAUCUUGGCCUGAAAACGACAACGAAUUGUAUACAACAGAAAUGGUCCCAUCUAGAUACAGUUUUGGUCAGACAAGUUUAAGCCUGCGGUUCUCCUGAAUAACAUUUUUGUCGAAUGAAGCAGUGAACUUCGGAAGUCAACAUUGUCUGAAAGCACUAGUAUAGAUAAACAAAUUUAUAGGACGUGCAUAAUGAAACAUGCCUGGCUUCCAUUAGCUGAUACCGAGGCAUGAACAUUUUACACAUUUUCUUCUUUAUGAGCUAUUUCUUCUGGCUAAAAUUACAUUGAAAUAAAUAAGCACUGCCUCUCUCUAUCAAAAAUUAAAAUCUUUAUCCUUUUUGUUUAUACCUCUUAGAGCAGACUUUUCUGUCGGGAUUCUGAAAGUGGAUUGCAAAACUGGAAAUUAAAAAUAUAACAGCAUCAUAAAACAGUAAAGCGCAACGAACACGGGGCUUUGGGUAUAGUUUAAAGCCAAAGAGCUAUCAUUCUACAUACAUCAGCAACCAGCUAUUAAAAAGCAUGAAUAAAAAUAGCAUAAGUGCUGGCUUGUGGGUCUCAGUUAUUGUGUUGGCCACCACCCUGUCUUUUGACAAUAUUGUACAAGGCAGACUCCUUUGAGUAGGAUUUCCCUGUUCUUCCUAUAUACAUAAGAAAUAUCAGUCCAUUAUGCUGGCAGCACCUAUCGCUGGAGGAAGCCAUGCACUGCUGGUACAUUUCAAAAGUAAGGGGUAAGAGGAAGGCCGGGUGGAGUUUGGAGCUUGUUGAGGCAGAAGUGAGAGUUGACUUGGAAUCGGGUGGUUGUCCAUUGGCUAGUUGCACUUCCAGUGCAUUAUCUUUGCAGAAGAGUGUGUAUGCAAGUUCAAAUGCUUCCAACAAGUAAAUAUAGUGCCCAAAACAACUGCUCCCAUUGACACGCAUGGAGGCAAGGGGUUGCGUCCAACUAAGUCAUGACCUCCUCUGAGCAAAUUUGGGGGGAGUGCAAGGGGUGCACAGAGGGAAGGGAGGUCCCACUGCACAAGUAAAAAUCAUUCUACUCCAUUCAGUGACCUAGUUGGGUGCAGUUCUAGGAUUCAGAGCGGUUCUUCAGCUAAUCAUGACACAACACCAGAGCUUGCACCCCUUAGACUAGGAACUCGGAUUGCAUAUAUCAAGUUGUGCGACACAAGGCCAUAUCCCUUUGUUCCCAUGCCUAGAGAACACACAGAUGGUGCUGGAGACAGUUAGUGCAGAAGCAGCGUUUAGUUGUUUGUGUACCCAGCAGCCAGGGAGAGGAAAGAACAAGUGAGUAAUGUUAUCUUCUCAGAACCCUUACAGAUACCUUGCCUUGGGGCAAACGCCAACCAGAACCUCAACUCCACGAUUGAAACUGGGUCUGCAAGGACAAGGCAUGCACAAAGGGUUGAUCUGAAGCACAUGGAACAGGGCAAGUGUUAAGCUGCAUGCAAUGUUCUAGUGCAGUACUCUGGAUAGGCAACCAUUUAACAUGCAUCAAGGCAAAGUGUUUUCCUACCAUCCCAUUCCCCGUGUCAUGCAGAUGCCUGAGAGGCCUACAACAACAGCAGCAUUUAGCAGGAGGGAAACCAGCUAUUCUUCUUUGGGAUUGCCACCUUUUCCGUCAAGCAGGGCUCCUGUGCCUUUCCAGAAUGCUGGACAGGCAGCAUGAUGCGGUUGAUAUUGGAAACAGCUGUUCCUUGCUGAUUUUCUGUGGGUUUCGAAGGCACAGCAGGUCUGCAUAAACCAAAGAGUGGGCAACCCUGCUCAUCUGAGUUGACUUCAGAACUCCUUCGGCAACUGAUGCUGCUCAAUAAAAGUUGUGACUAUU